rnacentral:rRNA from 1 species
UGGGGGAUAUUGCACAAUGGGCGAAAGCCUGAUGCAGCGACGCCGCGUGGGGGAUGAAGGCUUUCGGGUUGUAAACCUCUUUCGCUAUCGAACAAGGCCCGCCUAGGGAGGGUUGAGGGUAGGUGGAGAAGAAGCCCCGGCUAACUACGUGCCAGCAGCUGCGGUAAUCCGUAGGGCGCGAGCGUUGUCCGGAAUUAUUGGGCGUAAAGGGCUUGUAGGCGGCUGGUUGCGCCUAACGUGAAAACGCGGGGCUUAACUGCGGGAGUGCAGUGGAUACUGGCAGGCUUGAGUGUGGUAGAGGUAACUGGAAUUCCAGGUGUAGCGGUGGAAUGCGCAGAUAUCUGGAGGAACACCGAUGGCGAAGGCAGGUCACUGGGCCAUUACUGACGCUGAGGAGCGAAAGCAUGGGUAGCGAACAGG